AUUGAACGCUGGCGGCAUGCCUUACACAUGCAAGUCGAACGGCAGCACGGGAGCUUGCUCCUGGUGGCGAGUGGCGAACGGGUGAGUAAUACAUCGGAACGUACCCAAUCGUGGGGAAUAACGUAGCGAAAGUUACGCUAAUACCGCAUACGAUCUACGGAUGAAAGCGGGGGAUCGCAAGACCUCGCGCGAAUGGAGCGGCCGAUGUCAGAUUAGGUAGUUGGUGGGGUAAAGGCUCACCAAGCCAACGAUCUGUAGCUGGUCUGAGAGGACGACCAGCCACACUGGAACUGAGACACGGUCCAGACUCCUACGGGAGGCAGCAGUAGGGAAUAUUGGACAAUGGGCGAAAGCCUGAUCCAGCCAUCCCGCGUGGUAGAUGAAGGCCCUCUGGGUUGUAAAUACCUUUUGCAAGGGAAGAAACUACUCCCGAUUCAUCGGAGCCUGACGGUACCCUUGCGAAUAAGCACCGGCUAACUCCGUGCCAGCA
rnacentral:rRNA from 1 species